CCUACGGGAGGCAGCAGUAGGGAAUUUUCGUCAAUGGGCGCAAGCCUGAACGAGCGAUGCCGCGUGAGUGAAGAAGGCCUUCGGGUCGGAAAGCUCUGUUUCGGGGGAAAAAAGGCAGCAUCCGUAAAUGGGUGCUGACUGAUGGUGCCCCGCCAGCAAGUCCCGGCUAACUACGUGCCAGCAGCCGCGGUAAUACGUAGGUGGCGAGCGUUAUCCGGAAGGAUUGGGCGUAAAGGGUGCGCAGGCGGUCCUGCAAGUCUGGAGUGAAAAGCAUGAGCUCAACUCAUGCAUGGCUUUGGAAACUGGAGGACUGGAGAGCAGGAGAGGGCGGUGGAAUGCCAUGUGUAGCGGUAAAAUGCGUAGAUAUAUGGAAGAACACCAGUGGCGAAGGCGGCCGCCUGGCCUGUUGCUGACGCUGAGGCACGAAAGCGUGGGGAGCAAAUAGGAUUAGAUACCCCAGUAGUC
rnacentral:rRNA from 1 species